AUGGAGUUUCAAAAAUAUUCAGCUGUGAAAUUUGCAAUCUUACUGAUUUUCGUUAUCAUUACAUCAGAUAUGUGUAAGAUAUCAGAAGCAAGAGAGGGUCCACUUGUUUCACUUGGCUGUCAACGUGAUGAAACUUGUGAAAGUCGUUAUCCAAAUCUUGGUUGUAAAUGUGUUCGGUCUUUAUGCAGUUGUCCAGGAGAUUCUCCGAAGUUAAUCAACACUUUAUUACCACCCGAGUUAACUAGAUAA